rnacentral:lncRNA from 1 species
AGCUCUGGCAUGUUUUUGGUAAUUUCUGCAACUGUAUUUCUGAGUUUCUGGAGCUGUAUCUUUGCUUCCUUGUUUUAAACAGCAUGACUGGAUCCAGUAAUUGUAAUGCUUGUUAGGUUGUGCGUUUAGUUCAGUUCCACAAACAUUAAGCACCCACUGUGUACCAGGGUCCGUGCCAAGCCCAUGUAUUGAGAUGAUGAAUGGAAUUAUUUAGAUGUAAGGUAGAAUAUAUGUGUGAUCAUUUCCUCUGAAUAUACUAAGGCUUUAGCCUUCUGUAUAUUUGUAAGACAUAUUUUACAUGUACACUUUUUUGAAUGAUCAUCAAAUGUGGGAGCAAAGGGCCAGUUCAAUUCUCUGAAACUUUAAUUCUGAGGUCCUUACUUCCUUCAGCCUUCAGUCGAUAAAAAUAAAAUGCUUUAAGCUCUUUUGUCUUGGACAUUUGAAGGCAGCACAAGCUAUUAACACAAUGAUGUUGUUUCCAGUGUACAGCACUAUUAAUUGGGUCUUUGUAAUUUUCUCUAUAGGCCAAAGCUUGAUUUGAGUGUCAGCAAGUUAAAACUCAGGCACAUCCAUCUUUCCUGAGGCUCACUCUGAUUGCAGAGGUUGGGGAAGAGAUACUAGAUGGAAGCCCUUCAGGAGGCCCUUGCCAUGAUCCAGAUGAUGAACUUCAUGAGUUACUUUGUGGGGAUGCAAUGAAAGGGAAUUUUUUUUCUUUCUCUCUCUCUGUUUCUUUUUUAAUCUGAUUGAGGAGAGACAUAGGGACUGGAAGACAUUCACAUGGCUAUAAAUAAAAGUCAAGAUACAAUUGUUCAGGUAAAAACAAA